rnacentral:rRNA from 1 species
UACGUAGGGCGCAAGCGUUGUCCGGAAUCAUUGGGCGUAAAGAGCUCGUAGGUGGUCUGUUACGUCUGCUGUGAAAACCUAGGGCUUAACCCUGGGCCUGCAGUGGAUACGGGCAGACUAGAGGUAGGUAGGGGAGAAUGGAAUUCCCGGUGUAGCGGUGAAAUGCGCAGAUAUCGGGAGGAACACCGGUGGCGAAGGCGGGUCUCUGGGCCGUUACUGACGCUGAGGAGCGAAAGCGUGGGGAGCGAACAGG